AGUGAACGCUGGCGGUAGGCCUAACACAUGCAAGUCGAACGGCAGCACAGUAAGAGCUUGCUCUUACGGGUGGCGAGUGGCGGACGGGUGAGGAAUACAUCGGACUCUACUUUUUCGUGGGGGAUAACGUAGGGAAACUUACGCUAAUACCGCAUACGACCUACGGGUGAAAGCAGGGGAUCUUCGGACCUUGCGCGAUUGAAUGAGCCGAUGUCGGAUUAGCUAGUUGGCGGGGUAAAGGCCCACCAAGGCGACGAUCCGUAGCUGGUCUGAGAGGAUGAUCGGCCACACUGGAACUGAGACACGGUCCAGACUCCUACGGGAGGCAGCAGUGGGGAAUAUUGGACAAUGGGCGCAAGCCUGAUCCAGCCAUACCGCGUGGGUGAAGAAGGCCUUCGGGUUGUAAAGCCCUUUUGUUGGGAAAGAAAAGCAGCAGGUUAAUACCCCGCUGUUCUGACGGUACCCAAAGAAUAAGCACCGGCUAACUUCGUG
rnacentral:rRNA from 1 species